UUUUGUAUAAUGGGUCAGCGACUUAUAUUCUGUAGCAAGGUUAACCGAAUAGGGGAGCCGAAGGGAAACCGAGUCUUAACUGGGCGUUAAGUUGCAGGGUAUAGACCCGAAACCCGGUGAUCUAGCCAUGGGCAGGUUGAAGGUUGGGUAACACUAACUGGAGGACCGAACCGACUAAUGUUGAAAAAUUAGCGGAUGACUUGUGGCUGGGGGUGAAAGGCCAAUCAAACCGGGAGAUAGCUGGUUCUCCCCGAAAGCUAUUUAGGUAGCGCCUCGUGAAUUCAUCUCCGGGGGUAGAGCACUGUUUCGGCAAGGGGGUCAUCCCGACUUACCAACCCGAUGCAAACUGCGAAUACCGGAGAAUGUUAUCACGGGAGACACACGGCGGGUGCUAACGUCCGUCGUGAAGAGGGAAACAACCCAGACCGCCAGCUAAGGUCCCAAAGUCAUGGUUAAGUGGGAAACGAUGUGGGAAGGCCCAGACAGCCAGGAUGUUGGCUUAGAAGCAGCCAUCAUUUAAAGAAAGCGUAAUAGCUCACUGGUCGAGUCGGCCUGCGCGGAAGAUGUAACGGGGCUAAACCAUGCACCGAAGCUGCGGCAGCGACACUAUGUGUUGUUGGGUAGGGGAGCGUUCUGUAAGCCUGUGAAGGUGGCCUGUGAGGGUUGCUGGAGGUAUCAGAAGUGCGAAUGCUGACAUAAGUAACGAUAAAGCGGGUGAAAAGCCCGCUCGCCGGAAGACCAAGGGUUCCUGUCCAACGUUAAUCGGGGCAGGGUGAGUCGACCCCUAAGGCGAGGCCGAAAGGCGUAGUCGAUGGGAAACAGGUUAAUAUUCCUGUACUUGGUGUUACUGCGAAGGGGGGACGGAGAAGGCUAUGUUGGCCGGGCGACGGUUGUCCCGGUUUAAGCGUGUAGGCUGGUUUUCCAGGCAAAUCCGGAAAACCAAGGCUGAGGCGUGAUGACGAGGCACUACGGUGCUGAAGCGACAAAUGCCCUGCUUCCAGGAAAAGCCUCUAAGCAUCAGGUAACAUCAAAUCGUACCCCAAACCGACACAGGUGGUCAGGUAGAGAAUACCAAGGCGCUUGAGAGAACUCGGGUGAAGGAACUAGGCAAAAUGGUGCCGUAACUUCGGGAGAAGGCACGCUGAUAUGUAGGUGAAGCGACUUGCUCGUGGAGCUGAAAUCAGUCGAAGAUACCAGCUGGCUGCAACUGUUUAUUAAAAACACAGCACUGUGCAAACACGAAAGUGGACGUAUACGGUGUGACGCCUGCCCGGUGCCGGAAGGUUAAUUGAUGGGGUUAGCGGUAACGCGAAGCUCUUGAUCGAAGCCCCGGUAAACGGCGGCCGUAACUAUAACGGUCCUAAGGUAGCGAAAUUCCUUGUCGGGUAAGUUCCGACCUGCACGAAUGGCGUAAUGAUGGCCAGGCUGUCUCCACCCGAGACUCAGUGAAAUUGAACUCGCUGUGAAGAUGCAGUGUACCCGCGGCAAGACGGAAAGACCCCGUGAACCUUUACUAUAGCUUGACACUGAACAUUGAGCCUUGAUGUGUAGGAUAGGUGGGAGGCUUUGAAGUGUGGACGCCAGUCUGCAUGGAGCCGACCUUGAAAUACCACCCUUUAAUGUUUGAUGUUCUAACGUUGGCCCGUAAUCCGGGUUGCGGACAGUGUCUGGUGGGUAGUUUGACUGGGGCGGUCUCCUCCUAAAGAGUAACGGAGGAGCACGAAGGUUGGCUAAUCCUGGUCGGACAUCAGGAGGUUAGUGCAAUGGCAUAAGCCAGCUUGACUGCGAGCGUGACGGCGCGAGCAGGUGCGAAAGCAGGUCAUAGUGAUCCGGUGGUUCUGAAUGGAAGGGCCAUCGCUCAACGGAUAAAAGGUACUCCGGGGAUAACAGGCUGAUACCGCCCAAGAGUUCAUAUCGACGGCGGUGUUUGGCACCUCGAUGUCGGCUCAUCACAUCCUGGGGCUGAAGUAGGUCCCAAGGGUAUGGCUGUUCGCCAUUUAAAGUGGUACGCGAGCUGGGUUUAGAACGUCGUGAGACAGUUCGGUCCCUAUCUGCCGUGGGCGCUGGAGAACUGAGGGGGGCUGCUCCUAGUACGAGAGGACCGGAGUGGACGCAUCACUGGUGUUCGGGUUGUCAUGCCAAUGGCACUGCCCGGUAGCUAAAUGCGGAAGAGAUAAGUGCUGAAAGCAUCUAAGCACGAAACUUGCCCCGAGAUGAGUUCUCCCUGAGACUUAGAGUCUCCUGAAGGAACGUUGAAGACGACGACGUUGAUAGGCCGGGUGUGUAAGCGCAGCGAUGCGUUGAGCUAACCGGUACUAAUGAACCGUGAG
rnacentral:rRNA from 1 species